rnacentral:tRNA from 1 species
GCUGCGCGAGGCCCGGCGGCUCGGCCCCCUGGAGCGGGUCCUGGAGCAGGAGUACCGCGUCUCCUGCGCGGCCC